ACCUGACUGGCUCAGCUGGAAGAGCGUGAGACUCCUGAUGUCAGGGUCGUGGGUUUGAGCCCCAUGUUGGGCA